CGGAGAGAUGAAGGAGCCUCAGCAGAAGAGAGAGAUGGAGAAAGCGAGUGAUGAGAGGACGAGGCAGUUCGAGAGAGAGAGAUACAUGGAGGAGGACAGAGAGCGUGGAGAGGGCGAGGAAGAGGAGGAUGAAGAGGAAAAAGGAAAUGAUGGUGAUGAAGAUGAGGAAGAUGAAGGAGAGGAGUUGCUGGAGAUCGAAGCUCAGCUGAGGAGAGUCGCUGCAGAGCUGAGGGAACUGCGCCGGGGUUAAACACACACCCCCAACCACCCUCCCCCCCUCCACAAGCCAUAACGCACAUGCAUAUAUAUAUAUAUAUAUAUAUAUAUAUAUAUAUAUAUAUAUAUAUAUAUAUAUAUUAGCUGUCAAUCACAUUAGUUAGUGCAAUUAAUCACAAUGAAUUACAUUUUUCUCCUAUUUAUAGAGCAGAACAUUUUGUUGUGGCUACAGUAGGGGACAAAACUAGCAAAAUAUAUUCAUUACAAUUAAUAAAUCAAAGCUCAACAAAAAGUCUUGCAAAUGGAGGCUGAACCUGUAAAUAGAGUGAAUCCAGCUCAUUGACGUCCAGUGAGAGCAGCAGUGGCUGCACGUUCCAACCAGUCAGUGUUUAUGGAUGAUUCUACUGAACUGGUUCAAAGGCAGAGCUGAAACGCAUUUGGGACUUUUAACUGAACUUGGAAUUUAGACUAAAGUUCUUUUUCUUUGAGUGACCAUAUACCUUAAUUAUGUGUAUUUUAUUAAAACUAAUGAUUGAAUAUUUCAUUUUGUCGCUAGCAAAACAAUCAUAACUCUACCCAAACUUUACCGAAUGUUACAGUAGUGACUCUUUCGGUAGUGACCGUUUUAGCUCAAAAACACAAGUCAGUACAUGACAAGCAAUUACAGGUUGAACAGCUGUUCAUACAGAAAAAUCAUAUUUUGCAUUAAAACACUAAAAAAGUGAUUGAUUACAGAAAAUAUGCCAAGUCUUAAUGUUUCACGCUGAUUUUCAGACUUUGGGACACAUUUACUUCAAAACAAAGGGAUCUAACUGCUCACCAUGUGGCCAUGAGGGACAGGGAUGCAGCCUCACUUCCUGCUCUAAAAUACAGGGGCGUGGCUAAAACUAAGACUCCGCCUACAAAGUAAAACUUGUUUCGGUGGUGACAUGAAAACGUGGAACGGCAAUUUUAUAUUAAAAAUUAAACUCAUGAUAAAUCUAAAAAUUUCAGCUUCACUUUAAAAGGAAAAACAAGAAUAAAAACUAUAAAUAUAUAAAGUAUAAAGUAUAAAAUAUAAUUUAAACUAUCUGAAACCUAGGAGUAUAGGGAUGGAUGAGAAAGUAUUUAUUAAGAAAUAAAUAUGAUUUUUAUAUAUUUAUCUUCAUUAUGCAUAAUAUUUGCAGAUAUCUCAGCUCUGAAUACUUCAUUGUUUAAUAAAUUGCGUUUUCACUGUGUGAGCGCAGUUUGAACGAAUACAGUAGAAUGAUCUGUGUACAUUCAGUGGUUCAGCUCCUCCGUGAUUGUAGCCUCUGGCUCUCGUUCAUACAGCUCGUGGGUUCUUGUUAUGGUGGAGGGGAACUGGAGCUCUGCCAAGCAGCUGCUUUUGUUAGUUUGCUGCUUGUUGAUUUAUCCAAGCACUGUCCAACGAAGUCCGCUGAAGGUGCCCUGCAGUGCUAACGUCACUAGUAUUACUGAUAUUAGUGCAUCAGUAUUCUUGCGUUUCACGUGACAUCACACUGUAUAGUCACUGCCUUUUUUAGGGCCGAAUCAGGGAGUGACUGCGCUGUGCGAUGCCUUUGGCUGUGCUUUGUGAAAGAUUCACCCUCAGGACGCGACAGAAGCCGAGAAACACAUACCUUUAAUUCAGUGUUUUCACUCCAGGUUUGGAGCCACUGCACUGUAUAGUUUAAUGUUUCUCUCUGCUGUUCACAUCUCGUUCAGCUCAAGAAGGGAUUAAUUAGCUGAUAAUAUGAGGAAUUUUAACCAGGGAAGCCACAGUUAUGCAGUGCAGGCGUUUCGGAACUGGAGCUGAAAUCUGAACUAACUGCACUAGCAAACUUACAGAAUCAUGUCACAGUUUUCCGACCUGCGACAUUCAGUCUGAUAUUUAACGUUUAUGUUUCUCCAUUUAAACAUCAUUUAAAUCAGAAACAGAGAGUAAAGCUAUAGCGGGGGUCUGCAGCUCUGUUAGCGGGGGCGACUGUUUAUCUCUCAGCUGAUAACAUCAGCUAAAGUUCUCUAAAGGCCAGUAUUGUUCACAUCUGUGUUAAUUAGCUGAUGUCGUUUCCCUCCUAUGAUCACAGAGUUUAUCUCCUCUUUAUGCAACACCAUGGGAAACUUUACCCACCCUGACGAGAAGAGCUGGUGGGCUUCUGUGCUUUUAAAUGCUUUGAGAGAGUCUCCAGAAUAGGGACUGUAUAUGUUUUAUAUAUAUAUAUAUAUAUAUAUAUAUAUAUAUAUAUAUAUAUAUAUAUAUAUGUAUAUGUAAUCUGUCAGUUUAAGUGGGAGCAGGAGUUUAGGGAGAAACUGUAUCUCAGCCUAUGUUACUGACUUUGUGGAGGUCACAUUUUUUCUCUUCCAAAGUAAGGAGAGUCAUUUUUAUCCAUCUUUCACCUCUAGUUGCGUUCAUGAGGAGCAGUAAAGCCAGAAAUCCCAAAUAUGUCGGCCACAACAGAAAAAUCAUGUAUCUGAAACCCUUGGAUGUGCUUGGCUUGUAAAUGAUGCUUCAGGCUGAGUUUACUUCAUCGGUAACUCUUCACAAGAGAGCCAUCAAUGACAUUGACUAUUUAAAAGCUGUAUUUGAACGUGAGGGCUACAAUCGCUGCAGCUGGGCUUCAGCCUGGAACCUGGACAGUACAGCGAGUUUAAUAAGGUAACGACUUUGAUUCCACAAAUAUUUAUUCAUUCCGUCUCUUAUGUUCUACUCUGCUUUACAAUCUCGUCCACUGAUUAUUGUGAUUGGCCGUGGGCUGUGGGUGGGAGGUAGGACGCCGAAAAGUCCCUGACGCCAGCAGAUAUAACCUCAACAUGUAGAUGAUGUGGAUGUUUACGAUGAUGAACUAAAGCAAACCAAACUCUCCUGUAAAUAUCAGCUCUGAAUCUGAGAUUAGAAUAAAUAAUUGUUUUACCAGCUCAUUCCAAAUCAUCAAUAAUCAUCGUUUUAUGAAUGAAUCAGGUUAUUAGCUGACUAAUUAAUACAAUAAUUCUUUGUAUUUGUUUCUAAGCUGUGGAUUAAUGGAACUGUUGCUUAAUCUAGGUGUCAAUAAUCGAUAGCAGUGGGUUGAGUAACGAUGUUGCGUGUUGAUUUUUGUAAUAACGUGUUAAUGUUUGUGUUAGAUUUUCAGUGUAAUCUGUCUGACUGUGUGAUAGUGUUUCUAUAUGACGCUGCGUGAGGUUCGAGUGCUUUCUGGCUCCAACACUGUUCGAACGCGGUCAGACUGUUAAGGGGGAACCGAGCAGGUGCCAUUUCAGAGGGGAGAAUGUGUGUGUGUGUGGUGGGAUGUUAAUGCAGUGUGAUAAACAGGGUCCUCACACACCUUCACAGGGUACUUGGUUUGUGUGUGUAUGUUAGGUUUGUAAAAGCUCAGUGAUUCAGUGCAUCAAGAAAUCUCAAAAUUCUCCACGAUUAAAUUUGAGGAAAAGAUUCAGGGCUUCAUUUCACAAUUCGAUUUCAUCACCAUUUGAUUCUUUGGAUGAGUGAAUUUUCAGGGCUCAUCAUGAUUUGAUUUAAGUCGAUUCUGCAAAAAUGAUUCAGAGCAUCACGGAAUUUUCCAAUCCACAAUUCAGUUUGUUUUGAUUCUUUAGGAGACGAUUCAGUGCAUCAUGAAUUUCCAAAUAUAGCUACAAUUUGGUUUGAUUUGAUUCUAUAGGAAAUGAUCCAGUGCAUCAUGAAAUCUCAAAUAGCACUAUGAUUUGAUUUUCACUGCAGUUGGAUUAGAUUUGAUUCUUUAGGAAACGAUUUGGCACAUCAUGAAUUUUCAAAUAUUACUAGGAUUUGAUUUGAUUCUGUAGCAAAUGAUUCAGAGCGUCAUUAAAUCUUACAGUCCAGUUUAAUUUGAACGGAUUCUUUAGGAAAUGAUUCAGUGCAUCAUGAAUCCUCAAAUAGCACUAUGAUUUGAUUUGAUUCAGUAGAAAAUGAUUUGGUGCUUCAUGAAGCUUUGAAUUUCGCUGCAGUUCAGUUUGAUUUGAUUCUUGAGGUGAUGAUUCAGCGCAUCAUGAAUGAUCAAAUUUCAGCAUGAUUUUAUUCAAUUCUUUUGAAAACAGUUCAGUGUGUAAAGAAAUCUUAAAUUUUAGGAUGAUUCUGAAUUCUCAGAUAUCACUAGAAUUAGAUUUGAUUCUUCAGGAAAUGAUUCAGUACUUCAUGAAUUCGCAAAUCUCACUUCAGUUCAGUUUGAUUUGACUCUUUAGGUAACAGUUCAGUGCAUCAUGAACUCUCUAAAUUCUCUGCAGUUCACUUUGAAUUGAUUCUUUAGGAAAUGAUUCAGUGCAUUGUGAAUUCUCAGAUUUCACCACAGGUUUAUUAGAUUAGAUUCGAUUCUUUAGGAAAUGAAUCAGUGUGCCAUGAAAGCUCAGAUUUUCCCGCAAUUUGCUUAGAUUUUAUUCUUUUUAGAUGAAUUUUUCAUUUAAACAUGCAUUGAUUCUCAUCAUGAUUUAAUCAAUUUCGAUUCUUUUGGUCACGACCAGUCAAAAGUUUAGACCCGUUACUCACAGAUGACCUUUCCUAAUUUUUAGGGUAAUAUUUUUGUCAUUUUUAAAUACAGUAGUCAACACACUCUUGGCCAUUCUUAAGCAGCUUCAUGAGCUACAUGUAGAUCAAAUGUACCUUUAAUAAGGUGAGUCUGAACCUUUGACUGGUAACGCAUGUUUAAAAACACUGAAUACACAAGUGUUUACACAGUAAUAUAGAGAAUAAUACAGUACACCAGGCAAAACAGACUCCGAAUUCUUCGUCCAGCCUCAAACUAACAUUCUAAAAUUGAUGCAGUUGAAUCACUUUCAAUAAAAACCUUUAGUGCGUAGAGUUUUAUGGCAUUGGUCCCCUCAGAAACGGUCACUGCUGGUUCUCUCAGUACUAAACCAGCCACGGAGGAUGAGGCAGUCUGUUCAGACAGCUCCUAAAGCCAUCACACACACACACACACACACACACACACACACACACACACACACACACACACACACACACACACACUGCUGAGUAACAUGGUGAGCUGUGUCCAUUCAGUUUUUGUAUAGUUUCAAAAUAAGUCAAAUCAGCCAAGAAACAGCACCCUCUUGUGGACAGGAAUGCACUUUUCCCCUAUGGUCAUUAUUAGGACUGGGUAUUGUUCAGUAUUUCAGGGCUGACACCAAAACCAAAACACAGACUUCAGUACUGAUUCCUGACGAUACCUUUUCAAAACGUCCUUUUAGAUGCAAAAAAGUUUAGCUACCUGACGCAAUACUAAAUUUAAAUUUAUUUAUUCCAAUUUCCCCGCCCACAAAAGGUCCAGUGUAGACUGUGGAGGCUGUGAGGUGUCAGGUCAGGUGUUUUUCACACCACUUCAUACAUCUUUACGUAUUAACGUCCGGCUCGAUAUUUAGGACUCAAAAGUUCUCAAAAUCAACCUCAUACUGAUGAAGAGUGAAGAUAUGAUGAUGAUACUAAGAUUCACUCACAUUCUCAGAAGACGCGUCCUUCACCAAGUUUAGACCGAGUUCUCGUUGAGUACUCUUUAAAUCGCCAGAUUCAUCCUCUCGGGGAAGAGGUUCAAAGCACAACCAAUGCUGCAAACUGUUCUUCCACAUGUCACAAGCAAUUACACACUUCCACCAGAGAGGUCUCCAAAUCCCAAAAUCUUACGUAUUAAACAGCUCACGCCAAUAAGGCUUAUCAGCCAGUCGUUAGUCUAGAUCUUGGAACAAGCAUGCUGAUUGGCUCUCUGGUCACUGAUAAGACAGGCAACCGCUGGACACAUUUGAAUCUUGUUCAUUUAAAGCAUCAUUUUUUAGUGCGGUACUGAAAUUUGGUAAAUUUGGUAUUGUUCAAAGUACCGUUAACCCUCUUUUGCUCAGUGUUGCUUCAGAGCAACAAACCCAUUUUCCUCACUUAACAAUGACACAAUACAUGUUUAUUGUACAUAAGGAUUAAUAUUUAAGGGAAGACUUUGAAAACCUUCCUAUUUGGUCACACUGUCUCCUGGUGGGCAUUUUCAAGCCUGUUUUUGGCUUGUGGAUACAGUUUUGUUGCGCUCCCUCAGGAAAGCAAUUAUUUUGUAUCCAUGCAUAUGAUUGACAUCUGUGAGAGUGUGAAGUCGUGUUUUUAUUAUUUGUUGUCAUACAAAUAUUUUUUAUGCUAUUAGAAAUUGGUGAAACAUGUUGCCUUGAGGCAACAUUGUGCAAUAGUGGAAUGGAUUUAGCCGGUAGCAAGUGAUGCAGCCACACUGCAGGUUUUGUUUAGUUUUUCAUUUAGAAUUACUUUUUAUUUUAAAUUAUUUUGUGUUUUUUGUUCAUUUUGGAAACAUUGAGAGACAAGAAGCCCCUCCUGGUCAAUUAUGUUAUGUAGUAGUCAGCAGCCAUUAGAAAAUUUCAGAAAAUGAAAUUUCCAUUCAAUUACUUAUGUUUUUUUUAGGUUUUAGCAUUUUUCUGUUAUUUUAAAUGAUUGUUUGGUGUUCACAAAUAUUCAGGUAAAAAAAAAAAAAAUCUGUAUAACCCUCAGAAUAGUCUUCCCAUUGUUGCACAAUGUUGCCUCAAGGCAACAAAUCCCAAAAGACCCCUGCAUAUAUUGUAUUUCCCAAAAAUUAUUUUUUGAUUUUAGUUAUUAGGCCCAUCGCAUCCAGUAGAGGGUUAGGAAAAUGAAUGUCAAUACCCAGUUCUAAUUAUUAUAGGGUCAUUAUGAGAUUAUAGGGUAGGAUAUGAAAAUGUCCUGCAAUAAAUGCUAUAAAAAUGUAUUUAAUGUACCACUGACACUUUAAAGCCAAGCAUUAACAUAUUAUGAAAGCUAAAGUAAUAAUUUAAAAAUGUAUUUUUUAUUCCUUAAGUAAUAGUAACUCUACUAACACCAAAAUAUGAAGUUAUAUAAACCAAUAAGUAGGAUCUUGAUAAUAAUGUAAUGAAUGUAUUUUUAAUAAGCUAACGAAACUGUAUAAUAUUUACAGAUAAACUGAAUGUGUUAUUCGUGAUUUAGUGAAUAUAUUAAUAUUAUUUAGGGUCUUUUUUUAUUGAAAAUGACGUAAGUAGGUUUACUCUCCUGGAAUUGUCCAAACAAAGUUAGCUUGGCUAGUGGCCACCAGUUAGCAUGACUGCAUUUGCAUAAUGCCAAAUUAUGGCCAUUCGCUUUAAUUUACUGUUAGGAACAUGAGCUUUUUUGUCAUGAGACUAGUUGCAUGUUUCAAGUUGUCAUGCAACUUGACUGACAUAUACUGAAAGUUGAUUGCAACACAUUCAGUUACUGUUAGCAUUAGCUUGGUUUGUUAACGUAGCUGGUUACAGUUUGAACGUUUAAAAGUUUAUCAUGAUCACAUGAUGCCGUCUUUUGAUUGGCUGUUUCAGAAAACUGGUUUCAUGAACUUGAGACACUUGCAACUGUUGCAGCCGAGUUUCAAAUGAGUUGCAGGAUGCUUCACAUUAGUUUCAUGAAGUUUUCAAGCAACUAAAGCUGCAUAAAAGUAAAAGUUUACUAGUCCAAAAUUAUUUUUGUUAUUAUUGCUGUAUAUUAUAUUUGCAUCACAUAAUUAUUUAAAUAUUUGUGUAUUUACAAGGUGUCUUUAUAUCGUUAUUCACAGCUAUGUUAUACAUUACAUUGACUUUUUAUGUUUAUUUCAAUGUAAUAAACGAAUAAAAAUGUGAAGGACUUUUUCUUUCUUUCUGCAAAACAAGACUGGACACUAGCUAAAAUUCAUAUCCUAGUAACAAAAACACUUGGACUGAAAGUUUGGACUCUGCACUUUCUGCACAAUUUGUUUGCUUGUUUUGUUGGGCUACGAGUCAGAAACAGUUCAUAUAAUCACGGUGUAUUUUUCUUAUCGCUGAUGGUAACUUCAAUGUUUAAAAGUUUAAUGGUGAAUUAUUGUUACCAGCUAAUACAAACAAAUUCAGGAGGAUCUGACUCUGGUCAGUGGAAAUGUAUUAGAGCUUUAUGGGCAGGAAAAGGAAGAACUGUGGGAGGGAAGGUGCCCUGCUGGAGUGUGAGACAGUGUGCCUGCUGUGUUUUUUUGAGACAUUUCUGAGUGAAUCAAUAAAAACGCAGUGAAACGUGAA